rnacentral:tRNA from 1 species
GCCGGAGUGGCGAAAUUGGUAGACGCAGUUGAUUCAAAAUCAACCGCCCUCGGGUGUGCCGGUUCGAGUCCGGCCUUCGGCACCA